rnacentral:rRNA from 1 species
AGCGAACGCUGGCGGCAGGCCUAACACAUGCAAGUCGAACGAAGUCUUCGGACUUAGUGGCGGACGGGUGAGUAACACGUGGGAACGUGCCUUUAGGUUCGGAAUAACUCAGGGAAACUUGUGCUAAUACCGAAUGUGCCCUUCGGGGGAAAGAUUUAUCGCCUUUAGAGCGGCCCGCGUCUGAUUAGCUAGUUGGUGAGGUAAAGGCUCACCAAGGCUACGAUCAGUAGCUGGUCUGAGAGGAUGACCAGCCACAUUGGGACUGAGACACGGCCCAAACUCCUACGAGAGGCAGCAGUGGGGAAUCUUCCGCAAUGGACGAAAGUUUGACGGAGCAACGCCGCGUGAGUGAAGAAGGUUUUCGGAUCGUAAACUGCUUUUAUAAGUGAAGAAUAUGACGGUAACUUAUGAAUAAGGAUCGGCUAACUACGUGCCAGCAGCCGCAGUAACAC